AAAUGCAAAUAGGCUUAUUUAUACGUGUCUGGGGGAUCCUACCAGACAACUUGUAUAACCAAUCAGAAACCAGUCUGCGAUUCUCCGCCAAUCAACGAUCAAAUUGGCGUGUUGCUUUCUACCACGUCCGUAAUAGGGAUGUCUGAAUCUUAAUUUGCAUACGGCAGCAUAUAAACAUGUUAUGGUGGGUCCGGUGAGGCCGGAGUUGCGUCCUUGACUGGUUUGCGUGGGGUGCGGAUCCAUUGUGUACAGGUGUGAGUUGGACUGUCAGGUUGACUGAGGGACGACGGGACGCUAGAUUCUUGGUCGUUUUGUUAGCAGUGUCUUGUGCUAAGGUAUGUGCACACUUUUAGGUGGUGUGGGUGUGUUAAGUAGUUUUAUUAGUUUGAAACGAUGUAGGUAAAGUUUUUUAAUCAAAUUGUUGCUAUGGUAAAAGCGGUAGUGUGAC